UUGUAUGAAAAACCAACAAACAAAAAAAAAUGUUUUUUUUUAAAAAAAAAGCGAAAUCCAUGCUCAAGAAAGAAGGUUUUAUCCAAAAAAGCAGGAAAAAACAGAUCUUUUAUUCUCCUAAACUCAAUAAAAAUCACUUCAGAAAGGAGAAAGAUUUCCAACAUUUUUACUUGCUUUUCUUUAUUCUCCUCCUUAUCGAUUAGGGCACCAAUCAAUAGUAAAAGAUGGAAAAGAGAAGAAGAAGACGAGAGAGAGAGAGAGAGAGAGAGAGGUCGCGUCGUACUNNNNNNNNNNNNNNNNNNNNAGAAGAAGAAGACGAGAGAGAGAGAGAGAGAGAGAGGUGCGCGAUUCCAACCUCUAGGAAUCGCGCUUCCUGGUCCAGUCGCUUCAGCUCGGCUAAGAUCCUGUGCUUUCCCCUUGCCUCGGCCGACGGCGGAGGCUUGUGAUCGAUGGACG
rnacentral:lncRNA from 1 species